rnacentral:rRNA from 1 species
GACGUAGGUGGCAAGCGUUGUCCGGAGUUAUUGGGCGUAAAGCGCGCGCAGGCGGUUCGGUAAGUCCAUGGUGAAAGCGCCCCGGCUCAACUGGGCGAGUGCCGUGCGAACUGGGGAGGCUUGAGUCUGGUAGAGGUCGAUGGAAUUCCGGGUGUAGCGGUGGAAUGCGUAGAGAUCCGGAAGAACACCGGUGGCGAAGGCGGUCGACUGGGCCAGUACUGACGCUGAGGCGCGACAGCGUGGGGGAGCAAACAGG